AUGCCAAGAAAAAGGAUCAAUAAGGACUGCAGAAUCUUCUUCAACAACGGUGCUGGCGAGAGGUGGAAGCAGCGGCUGCAGCCCAAGAACUCUCCAGAUGACAAAGAAUCUCCAAGUGACAAGAAAUCCAAGAUGGUUCCCAGAAGACUGAAAGUUCAACCGAAGGUAAAGAACAAGAAGAGAAGUCCGGUGAAGACGGUGAGAAAGACACAAAGGAUGACCAGACAGAGCAAGAACCUAAUAUGCUUCUUGAAUCUGAAGAUGAGUUACUUGUAGAUGAAGAAGCAGCAGCUGCACUGCUAGAAAAUGGCACUUCAGUGGGAGACGAGACCGAUCUUGCUAAUUUAGGUGAUGUGGCUUCUGAUAGGGAAAAGGCACCUUCAGAUGCUGUGAAAAAAGAUGCAAGUGCUUCAGCAGCAGCAAAGAAAAAAACUUAAAAAGUGGACAAGAUCGAGGCACUUGAUCAAGAAAAUGAAGCAGCGUUGGAAAAUGGAAUUAAAAAUGAGGAAAACACAGAACCAGGUGCUGAAUCUUCUGAGAACGCUGAUGAUCCCUACAAAGAUACAAGUGAAAAUGCAGAUGGUCAGAGUGAUGAGAACAAGGAGGACUAUACAAUCCCAGAUAAGUAUAGAAUUGGACCGUAUCAGCCCAAUGUUCCUGUUGGUAUAGACUAUGUGAUACCUAAAACAGGGUUUUACUGUAAGCUGUGUUCACUCUUUUAUACAAAUGAAGAAGUUGCAAAGAAUACUCAUUGCAGCAUCCUUCCUCGUUAUAAGAAAUUAAAGAAAUUUCUGAAUAAAUUGGCAGACAAACGCAGACAGAAGAAGGAAACAAGAUGUGCAAGAAAUUUGAUGAUUUCAAAGAAAAUAAUGGUUCUUUGUUUUUAAUGUUAACCUUUUUAAAAUACAAUACUGAUAGAAGAAAACUAUUGUACUCUUUUGUUUUAGUGGAGAAAUAAUAGAUGUCUGUUCAUGUGUUAAGUGUUAUAGCAAAAAAAAAAUACACAUAUGGUUAAGUUAAUGAAUAUUUUUUGUUUUAUCAGAAUGACAACAGACAGAAGUACUUUGUAGAGAUUGACUUCCUAAGCUACUUAAGACAACUUGCACCAUUAAGAAAAAAAAUGAAGAACCAUUUGGAAAAAUGAAAUUCAGUAGUUCCAAGUUUCAAAGAAAUGUCAACAUUUUAUUCCAUUCAAUAAAGAACAAAACCAAUAGUAUUUUUGUUA